GAUAGGAAGAAAUUCUAAAACAAGUUGAUGAGUUCUUGAACACCAAGGUUGCACCUCAAGAGCUUGUGGAUGAGCUUAAGUAACAAUAAAUGAUGAAGAUAUUGAUGUUGAUCCAACAAUGGAGCCUUACUUUGUUGAUCUUGAUGAUUAGAAUAUAUGUUGUUUUAUUGUUAGUUUUUAUUAUUAAUGUACUUUGUUAUUAGUUAUAUGAAUGUAAUUGAUAUUUCAACUCAACUCAAAUUAUAAUUAGGAUAUUUGUUUAUAACUUUA